rnacentral:rRNA from 1 species
UACGAAGGGGGCUAGCGUUGCUCGGAAUCACUGGGCGUAAAGCGCACGUAGGCGGAUUGUUAAGUCAGGGGUGAAAUCCUGGAGCUCAACUCCAGAACUGCCUUUGAUACUGGCGAUCUCGAGUCCGGGAGAGGUGAGUGGAACUGCGAGUGUAGAGGUGAAAUUCGUAUAUAUUCGCAAGAACACCAGUGGCGAAGGCGGCUCACUGGCCCGGUACUGACGCUGAGGUGCGAAAGCGUGGGGAGCAAACAGG